rnacentral:lncRNA from 1 species
AUACCUAAUACUUUGGUGUUUUCACCCUCCUUAGCUCUUGUCCCCGUCUGGAAUAAAGAACAUGCAGCUUAUCCUUGCCUGUCAGGUCAUUCAGAAAAAUGCUCUUUUGGUGGCUGUUCAGCAAGCUUCCUUUUGUUACCUGGUCCAGCCUACCCAUGCCCGGGACACAAAGGAAGGAAAUAUAAGACUAACAAGUUGGAGCAGUUCAGCAAGUGGAAGAAAUUCUGUGUCUGGGAAUGAAAUAGAGAAUCGGCUGCUGCAAGCAACCACAGCAGCCACCUCAUGUUCUCCUGGACGUUCUUCAGAUUUACACUGUACCAUAAACAGGCCUGCAGAAGCUUUUGUUUCCAUUCAGCUAGAGAAACUGGGGCCUCGAGACAUGAUGCUGAACGCAUUCAUUCAGAAGAAAGAAACCAUGGGUAGCAGAAUGCAAAACCCUGAUGAACUUCUGAAAUUCAAAAGAGACGUCAUUGUUGAAUAUUGUUAUAAGUAAGUAUAUCUGAUAAAAUAUAUCUAAUAUAUGUUCAAUAUAUAUCUUGUAUAGACAU